GAUGAAGAACGUAGUGAAAUGCGAUAAGUAAUGUGAAUUGCAGAAUUCAGUGAAUCAUCGAAUCUUUGAACGCAUCUUGCGCUCCUUGGUAUUCUGAGGAGCAUGCCUGUUUGAGUGUCAUUAAAUUCUCAACUACACUGACUUUGAAUUGGUGUGGCUUGGAUUUGGGGGGAAAAUUGUUGUGGGCUUUUUGUAUAGUCUGCUCCCCUGAAAUUGAUUAGCGGUACCUUUGUGGAACUGUCUACAGGUGUGAUAAUUAUCUAAAUCUUAGACAUCUGCUGGAAUGCUGCUUUCUAAACCUUACUUGUAUUGACAAUCUUGACCUCAAAUCAGGUAGGACUACCCGCUGAACUUAAGCAUAUCAAUAAGCGGAGGA
rnacentral:misc_RNA from 1 species